GGGCAGCUAGUCUAUGAUAAGACUUUUGAUUUCGGCUCAAAAAAUCAUGAUUUAUUUCAUGGCUACCUU
rnacentral:tRNA from 1 species